GCCAUUUGUGACUCAUGCUACAUGUGCCGAUGUCUCUUUAGAUAAAUAUCUUAUAAAUAUCUUAUAUUUAGUAAUGCACAAGGGUCCUGGUUAAAGUAGUGCACUAGGGGCCUGGUAGAAAGUAGUGCACUAGGGUCCUGGUAGAAAGUAGUGCACUAGGGUCCUGGUAGAAAGUAGUGCACUAGGGUCCUGGUAGAAAGUAGUGCACUAGGGUCCUGGUAGAAAGUAGUGCACUAGGGCCCUGGUAGAAAGUAGUGCACUAGGGGCCUGGUAGAAAUAGUGCACUAGGGGCCUGGUAGAAAGUAGUGCACUAGGGUCCUGGUAGAAAGUAGUGCACUAGGGUCCUGGUAGAAAGUAGUGCACUAGGGUCCUGGUUAAAGUAGUGCACUAGGGGCCUGGUAGAAAGUAGUGCACUAGGGUCCUGGUUAAAGUAGUGCACUAGGGGCCUGGUAGAAAUUAGUGCACUAGGGUCCUGGUAGAAAGUAGUGCACUAGGGUCCUGGUAGAAAGUAGUGCACUAGGGUCCUGGUAGAAAGUAGUGCACUAGGGUCCUGGUAGAAAGUAGUGCACUAGGGGCCUGGUAGAAAGUAGUGCACUAUUAACGGAAUAUGGUGCCAUUUGUGACUCAUGCUACAUGUGCCGAUGUCUCUUUAGAUAAAUAUCUUAUAUUUUUACAACAUGUCCUUUGUUGUCCAAUAGAACGAUGAUGAACUAGUUCUGCAUGUUACCACAUGUCCAUUAUUAUCCAAUGGAACGAUGAUGAACUAGUUCUGCAUGUUACCACAUGUCCAUUAUUAUCCAAUGGAACGAUGAUGAACUAGUUCUGCAUGUUACCACAUGUCCAUUAUUAUCCAAUGGAACGAUGAUGAACUAGUUCUGCAUGUUACCACAUGUCAAUUAUUAUCCAAUGGAACGAUGAUGAACUAGUUCUGCAUGUUACCACAUGUCCAUUAUUAUCCAAUGGAACGAUGAUGAACUAGUUCUGCAUGUUACCACAUGUCCAUUAUUAUCCAAUGGGACGAUGAUGAACUAUUUCUGCAUGUUUCCAACCAGGGAAAGAGAAACUGUAGAUAACUGCCAUGAUUAAAAAAAGUCAUGAGAUGUUCAGGGGUUAUUUUAGACAGCGUCAGACAUUAUCAACACCCACAGAGAGCUGGGGUCUUUAGACAGGGUCAGACAUUAUCAACACCCACAGAGAGCUGGGGUCUUUAGACAGGGUCAGACAUUAUCAACACCCACAGAGAGCUGGGGUCUUUAGACAGGGUCAGACAUUAUCAACACCCACAGAGAGCUGGGGUCUUUAGACAGGGUCAGACAUUAUCAACACCCACAGAGAGCUGGGGUCUUUAGACAGGGUCAGACAUUAUCAACACCCACAGAGAGCUGGGGUCUUUAGACAGGGUCAGACAUUAUCAACACCCACAGAGAGCUGGAGUCUUUAGACAGGGUCAGACAUUAUCAACACCCACAGAGAGCUGGGGUCUUUAGACAGGGUCAGACAUUAUCAACACCCACAGAGAGCUGGGGUCUUUAGACAGGGUCAGACAUUAUCAACACCCACAGAGAGCUGGGGUCUUUAGACAGGGUCAGACAUUAUCAACACCCACAGAGAGCUGGGGUCUUUAGACAGGGUCAGACAUGAUCAAUGACAUCCCUGGAGCAAUUGAGGUUGAGUGCCUUGCUCAAGGGCACACAGACAAAUGCUUCACCUUGUCUGCUCCUGGAGUUGAACUAGCGACCUUACGAAUCCCAGCCUGUGUGUGUCUAUACAGUAUUGGAUUGAAUCCCAGCCUGUGUGUCUGUCUAUACAGUAUUGGAUUGAAUCCCAGCCUGUGUGUCUGUCUGUACAGUAUUGGAUUGAAUCCCAGCCAAUGUGUCUGUCUGUACAGUAUUGGAUUGAAUCCCAGCCAAUGUGUCUGUCUAUACAGUAUUGGAUUGAAUCCCAGUCUGUGUGUCUGUCUAUACAGUAUUGGAUUGAAUCCCAGCCUGUCUGUCUGUCUAUACAGUAUUGGAUUGAAUCCCAGCCUAUGUGUCUGUCUGUACAGUGUUGGAUGGAAUCCCAGUCUGUGUGUGUCUAUACAGUAUUGGAUUGAAUCCCAGCCUAUGUGUCUGUCUGUACAGUAUUGGAUUGUAUCCCAACCUAUGUGUCUAUACAGUAUUGGAUUGAAUCCCAGCCUGUGUCUGUCAAUACAGUAUUGGAUUGUAUCCCAACCUAUGUGUCUAUACAGUAUUGGAUUGUAUCCCAACCUAUGUGUCUGUCAAUACAGUAUUGGAUUGAAUCCCAGCCUGUGUGUCUAUUCAGUAUUGGAUUGAAUACCAGUCUGUGUGUGUCUAUACAGUAUUGGAUUGAAUCCC
ensembl:lncRNA